AUUUGAGAACCAUCAGAAGUGGGCAGACAGAGGACUCAGGAAAUGGAAAUAUAUGGUUGAUUUUCUUGCUCUGAAAAUAUCAUCAAGAUGUCCCAGUCCAUUGAGGAGAAAAGUAUUAUACUCUUCUAAGCAACAAGUGCCUUUUGCUGAACAGAGGGUCUUUUCUUCCUUCCAAGCUCAUAGGACAAUAAAGCUACAAAGCACAA